UACGAAGGGGGCUAGCGUUGCUCGGAAUCACUGGGCGUAAAGCGCACGUAGGCGGCUUUUUAAGUCAGGGGUGAAAUCCUGGAGCUCAACUCCAGAACUGCCUUUGAUACUGAGAAGCUUGAGUCCGGGAGAGGUGAGUGGAACUGCGAGUGUAGAGGUGAAAUUCGUAGAUAUUCGCAAGAACACCAGUGGCGAAGGCGGCGUCCUGGCCUGCGACUGACGCUGUGGCGCGAAAGCUAGGGGAGCGAACGGG
rnacentral:rRNA from 1 species